UCCCAUGUGGUCUAGUGGUCAGGACACCUGGUUAUAACCCAGGUAGCCCGGGUUCGAUCCCCCGGCGUGGGAA